AACUGAAGAGUUUGAUCAUGGCUCAGAUUGAACGCUGGCGGCAGGCUUAACACAUGCAAGUCGAGCGGGGGAAGGUAGCUUGCUACUGGACCUAGCGGCGGACGGGUGAGUAAUGCUUAGGAAUCUGCCUAUUAGUGGGGGACAACAUCUCGAAAGGGAUGCUAAUACCGCAUACGUCCUACGGGAGAAAGCAGGGGAUCUUCGGACCUUGCGCUAAUAGAUGAGCCUAAGUCGGAUUAGCUAGUUGGUGGGGUAAAGGCCUACCAAGGCGACGAUCUGUAGCGGGUCUGAGAGGAUGAUCCGCCACACUGGGACUGAGACACGGCCCAGACUCCUACGGGAGGCAGCAGUGGGGAAUAUUGGACAA
rnacentral:rRNA from 1 species